UAAAACAUCUACAGAUACAGCAGUAAACAUACUUGUGAUGCGGUAAGAAAAACUAGUACAGUGUAGAUAUAAAUUAUGGUAUCUUACGCACUUCUCUUCUUAUUGCUUCUGUCUUGUUCUUCAUUUGUUUUUGUAGUGAAUUCCACAGGACGUGCAGGUGUACACAAGGAGACUUGGACAUGCCUCUGUGAAACUGACAAUCUCGGGUAGGAGCUGCUGGUUUGUGGUUGGCAGUAUGGAUCAUGGUCUGCGACUGAUGAGGAGCUGGGCUGGAGACAUAUAGAGGUUGUCAACAGGUGAAGUUGUCUGAAGCUAAUACCUGCCAUGGUCUGAUUACUAUUUCAUGAGGAAUCAUGGGUUCCUUGGUUUUUGAAUUAUGCUGCACCAGGC